rnacentral:lncRNA from 1 species
UGCUUUUUAGCCCUAUCAUAACAGCCUUGUUUUAAUAACAUGGUUUCUCAUUCUUCUUUAUUUAGAAAGUGAAAAUAAAAGAGUCGUCAUGAAAAAAAUUUCAAAAAGAAGAGAAGAGAUUUUUAAAAAGAUGUCAGAAGCAGCAAACAGCAGCACAGAAGAAAUGGUGGACAGGCAUCUGUCAAAAGGUUCUCCUGUAGCGUGCCACGCCUCUGAUAUCCUUGGGUUUUAGUUUUUAAGGAUGUAGCGAUUGCUUCCCUUCCCUGCGCUUCAGCAUCCUACAGCAUAAACAUAAACUAGGCUUCCUACAUGAUAUAAGACGGGCCCAAGGAAAAUACAUAGAGAUUGAACUCAUAAUGUUUCGCUCUCUCCAUCAUUAACUGCACACACACAGGGCAUUCACUGGUGCCUGAGA